ACCGUAGGACACGAUCGUUAUCCGGAUUUACUGGGCGUAAAGCGCGGGCAGGCGGCGGGCCAAGUCGGAUGUGAAAGCUCCCGGCUCAACCGGGAGAGGCCAUUCGAAACUGGCGUGCUGGAGGGCAGGAGAGGAGCGCGGAAUUCCGGGUGGAGUGGUGAAAUGCGUAGAGAUCCGGAGGAACACCAGAGGCGAAAGCGGCGCUCUGGCCUGCAACUGACGCUGAACCGCGAAAGCCAGGGUAGAGAACGGG
rnacentral:rRNA from 1 species